GACUCUUUGACAGCCUCACUCAGAAAGACAAGAGCGGGAAGGAUUGGUCUUUCAUUCUUAAACAGAUUGGCAUGUUUUCAUACACUGGCUUGAACAAAGCACAGAGUGACAAUAUGACAAACAAGUGGCACAUAUACAUGACCAAGGAUGGCAGGAUCUCUUUGGCUGGUUUGUCUCUGGCGAAAUGUGAAUACCUUGCUGACGCCAUCAUCGAUUCUUUCCAUAAUGUCAGCUAGAAGACAAUCAAAACCGAAGCUUCACUGGAACAUUUUUGCUCCUGUUCCAUUUGAGCCUUGCUGGUGUACCUUUUCUCGACGGAUUU
rnacentral:misc_RNA from 1 species